UACGUAGGGGGCGAGCGUUGUCCGGAGUUACUGGGCGUAAAGGGCACGCAGGCGGUGUGGCGCGUUUCGCGUGACAGCGGAGGGCUUAACUCUCCGAGGAUGCGAAAGACGGCGGCACUUGAGGGCCAGAGAGGGACACGGAAUUCCGGGUGGAGUGGUGAAAUGCGUAGAGAUCCGGAGGAACACCGAAGGCGAAGGCAGUGUCCUGGCUGGUGACUGACGCUGAGGUGCGAAAGCUAGGGGAGCGAACGGG
rnacentral:rRNA from 1 species